UACGGAGGGUGCUAGCGUUGUUCGGAAUCACUGGGCGUAAAGGGCGUGUAGGCGGUCUGUUAAGUCUGAUGUGAAAUCCCCUCGCUCAACGAGGGAACUGCGUCGGAUACUGGCAGACUCGAGUACCGGAGAGGAAGGUGGAAUUCCCGGUGUAGCGGUGAAAUGCGUAGAUAUGUCACAGAACACCAAUUGCGAAGGCAGCUUACUAAGGUGCAAUUGACGCUGAGGCACGAAAGCGUGGGGAUCAAACAGG
rnacentral:rRNA from 1 species